UACGUAGGGGGCGAGCGUUGUUCGGAAUUACUGGGCGUAAAGGGCGCGUAGGCGGCCACCCAAGUCAGAUGUGAAAGCCCUGGGCUUAACCUGGGGACUGCAUUUGAUACUGGGUUGCUUGAAUUCGGGAGAGGAUAGCGGAAUUCCCAGUGUAGAGGUGAAAUUCGUAGAUAUUGGGAAGAACACCGGUGGCGAAGGCGGCUAUCUGGACCGACAUUGACGCUGAGGCGCGAAAGCGUGGGGAGCAAACAGG
rnacentral:rRNA from 1 species